AGAGGUGCGAGAGUGGUGCUCCACGUGUUGGGAGAUGAUAAAGGGAGGCAUGGCUCUUCAGGGAAAUGUGAAGAGCAAAACCAGUCUCCUACUUCAGGAAGAAAACAGAAAUCUGUGUAGAGGAGAAGCAUUCCUGGCACUCAUGGUUGAGCCAAAGGAUGUGAUCUGGCCACUGCCACAGCUUUCAAAAUAAGGAAAAGAUGCAACUGCAAGCAAUUCUGAAGUGGCACCUGGAUCUGAGCAGCCCAGGUGUGACAGGUACAUCUCAGGCCCCACCAGCUGCUUUGGACAUGAAAGAGGACAACCAGAGCCUAUCCAGUCCUGCAGUGGGCAGUUCAGUGGAUAAACAAACUCACUGGCUGAAAAGGCCCAGCUGUGCAAAUGUAAGCAGCUGCUUUUCCCCAUCCUACAAGGCUUCCAGAGCUUGCUUUGCAAUGCCAGCCAGCUGCUGCACCUGUCAUUGUGCAUUAAAGCAGGAAACAUUUGGGGGACAGAGUGAAACUAAAGCUGCAGUCUGAGUGAGGCUCUUUCAUUCUCCACAUGUGUUGCUGAGCAAACCCUGCUACAUGUAGGACUGACCAGGCUGCUGCAAGCAGCACGUUGCUUUUCAAAGUGUGCCCAUGUGCUUCUUCUACACAACAGCUGAAAGGCACUGGGCCUUGCUGCUACCACUGAGCUCUGGAUCCUUCCACCGAAACACCCCAAGAGCCCCUGGGCAUCACCUCCAAUUCAAUCAUUGAAUAUUGCAGGGGAAGAGACCCACAAGGAUCAUUGAACCCAGCCCCUCACCUCAUGGAGCAUCACUCAAAAUUCAAACCAUAUAUAUAUCUGAGAGCACUGUCCAAACACUCCUUGAGCUCUGGCAUCUUGGGGUCAUGAUCACAGCCCUGGGGACCUUUUUUCAUGUCCACCACUCUCUGAUGAAGAACCUUUUCCUAACACCCAACCUGACCCUUCCCUGACACAGCUCCAUGCCGUUCCCUCGGGUCCUGUCGCAGUCACAGAGGACACAGCUCAGUGUUACCCUUCCACUCCCUGUGAAGGGCUGUAGACAUGAGGUCUCCCCUCAGUAACUCUGCACUGGGCUGGACAAACCCAGAGACCUCAGCCAUCCCUCAUACUCCUUGCUCUCUAGGCCCUUCACCAUCUUUGUAGCCCUCCUUUGGAUGCUCUAUAAUACCUUUAUGUCUUUCAUAUACUGUGGCUCCCAAAGCUUCACACAGUAUUUGAGGUGUGGCCGCAGAGUGCAGACCAGAGCAGGACAGCCCCUCCCCUCAUCUGGUGGCAGCGCUGGGUCUGAUGCACCCCAUGGUACUGUUGGUCCUUUGGCUUUGCAGAGCACACUGCUGGCUCAGAUUCAACUUGCCAUCAGCCAGAACUCCCAGAUCUCUUUUUAUGGGGCUGUUCUCCGGCCUCACAUCCACCUGUCUGUACAUAUAGCCAGGGCUGUCCUGGUGCAGAAUCUGGCACUUGCUCUCAUUAAAUUUCACAUGGUUGGUGAUCACCCAGCCCUCUACUUUGUCAUAAUCUCUCUAUAACACAUCAGCCUGCUCAUGCAGCCCCAGCUUUCCAAGCUUUUUCUUCCUCUCUUCCUUUAUUCAUAUAGUCAGAGAAAUACCUAUACAGAUACAUAUUUUAAAAACCUACUGAUUUAGAUGGAUGAAGACUUAAAAUCAAUUCAUGAGCCUAUGGUCUAACCACACCUUUGUUUGGCUUAUAAUGGAAAAGUCAGCAGUAAAAUUAAAAGUGUUGUUAACUUCCAAAC
ensembl:lncRNA